rnacentral:miRNA from 1 species
AACCCGUAUGCUGUUGGGUGUGU